GAAAACUUCGGCAAGAACGUGGAGCUGGUGUGUGAGACUUGUGUGCUAACUUGGACCACAAGCCCCCUCACGAGCCCUGUUUUUACGAACCCUGUGUGAACCGUAAUAUUUAUUCCAUCCACGUAAUACGAAAUUUCUAGUCUAAAGUCUUCUUCAUAUCACGAGAAUAUGAUAAAAA
rnacentral:misc_RNA from 1 species